rnacentral:rRNA from 1 species
UACGUAGGGUGCGAGCGUUAAUCGGAAUUACUGGGCGUAAAGCGUGCGCAGGCGGUUUUGUAAGGCAGAUGUGAAAGCCCCGGGCUUAACCUGGGAAUGGCAUUUGGGACUGCAAGGCUUGAGUGCGGCAGAGGAGACUGGAAUUCCUGGUGUAGCAGUGAAAUGCGUAGAUAUCGGGAGGAACACCUGUGGCGAAAGCGGCUCACUGGACCAUAACUGACGCUGAUGCACGAAAGCUGGGGGAGCAAACAGG